UACGUAGGUGGCAAGCGUUGUCCGGAUUUACUGGGCGUAAAGAGCGCGCAGGCGGUCGUUCAAGUCGCGUGUGAAAGCCCCCGGCUCAACUGGGGAGGGUCACGCGAUACUGAUCGACUCGAAGGCAGGAGAGGGUAGUGGAAUUCCCGGUGUAGUGGUGAAAUGCGUAGAGUAUCGGGAGGAACACCAGUGGCGAAGGCGACUACCUGGCCU
rnacentral:rRNA from 1 species